rnacentral:rRNA from 1 species
GGGUAACAGGAAAGCUUGCUUUCGCUGACGACCGGCGCACGGGUGCGUAACGCGUAUGCAACCUACCUCAUACUGGAGAAUAGCCCCUGGAAACGGGGAUUAAUACUCCAUGGUAUCAUUCUUUCGCAUGUUAGAAUGAUUAAAGAAUUUCGGUAUGAGAUGGGCAUGCGUCCCAUUAGCUAGUUGGUGAGGUAACGGCUCACCAAGGCGACGAUGGGUAGGGGGCCUGAGAGGGUGGUCCCCCACACUGGUACUGAGACACGGACCAGACUCCUACGGGAGGCAGCAGUGAGGAAUAUUGGUCAAUGGAGGCAACUCUGAACCAGCCAUGCCGCGUGAAGGAUGACGGCCCUAUGGGUUGUAAACUUCUUUUGAAUAGGAAGAAACUUAUCUACGUGUAGAUAACUGACGGUACUAUUAGAAUAAGGAUCGGCUAA